GGGAGAACCUAGGGAUUAUUUUUCCGAAACCAAAACCUCUCCUCUUUCUUCUUCUCUCUCGCACGGCGUCGGGCUCUUCUCGGGCAGAAACGGAAUGAAGCCCUAGCUUCGUCUCCGGCGGCCGGCGAAGGACAGAUUCUGGGAGAUCUUCACGGAAUAGAGACCGACUCAUCGAGGAGAGCUUGUGGGCACGAAGAGGAGUCGGAGAUUCGAGCCCUCCGUGAACCCUAGAAGCCCUCUUGUUCGGGCGUGAGUCCAAGAAGCAAGAUAAAGGAAAGGAAAAGAUAUAGCGACGGAAGGCGACAAGGUGGCGCGGAUGGUGUGUGAUGCCAGGACUAUGGGAGAGACUUGGGCAUUUUUAAGUUUCCGCAUUUUAGUGUAUAAGAAGCAUUUGAAGUUGUACUUUAAGAUCCAUGUCAUUUGAGAUUAUUUUUGUGUUAGAUUGCAUGCUAAGAUAAACUCAGUUUAGUAGGUAUAUAUUUUUGGUUUUGACACUUA